AUGUGGUUUAAUUCGAAGCAACGCGAAGUAACCUUACCAGGUCUUGACAUCCCGAUGCUAUUUCUAGAGAUAGAAAGUUACUUCGGUACAUCGGUGACAGGUGGUGCAUGGUUGUCGUCAGCUCGUGUCGUGAGAUGUUGGGUUAAGUCCCGCAACGAGCGCAACCCCUAUUGUUAGUUGCCAUCAUUCAGUUGGGCACUCUAGCGAGACUGCCGGUAAUAAACCGGAGGAAGUGGGGAUGACGUCAAAUCAUCAUGCCCCUUAUGACCUGGGCUACACACGUGCUACAAUGGUUGGUACAACGAGUUGCGAGUCGGUGACGGCGAGCUAAUCUCUUAAAGCCAAUCUCAGUUCGGAUUGUAGGCUGCAACUCGCCUACAUGAAGUCGGAAUCGCUAGUAAUCGCGGAUCAGCACGCCGCGGUGAAUACGUUCCCGGGCCUU
rnacentral:rRNA from 1 species